rnacentral:rRNA from 1 species
AGUGAACGCUGGCGGUAGGCCUAACACAUGCAAGUCGAACGGCAGCACAGUAAGAGCUUGCUCUUACGGGUGGCGAGUGGCGGACGGGUGAGGAAUACAUCGGAAUCUACUUUUUCGUGGGGGAUAACGUAGGGAAACUUACGCUAAUACCGCAUACGAUCUACGGGUGAAAGCAGGGGAUCUUCGGACCUUGCGCGACUGAAUGAGCUGAUGUCGGAUUAGCUAGUUGGUGGGGUAAAGGCCCACCAAGGCGACGAUCCGUAGCUGGUCUGAGAGGAUGAUCAGCCACACUGGAACUGAGACACGGUCCAGACUCCUACGGGAGGCAGCAGUGGGGAAUAUUGGACAAUGGGCGCAAGCCUGAUCCAGCCAUACCGCGUGGGUGAAGAAGGCCUUCGGGUUGUAAAGCCCUUUUGUUGGGAAAGAAAAGCAGCAGGUUAAUACCCCGCUGUUCUGACGGUACCCAAAGAAUAAGCACCGGCUAACUUCGUG